GGGGGUACAGCUCAGCAGUAGAGUUUGGCCUUAGCAUCAACAAGGUCCUGGGUUCAAUUCCCAGCACCUCCA
rnacentral:tRNA from 1 species